rnacentral:rRNA from 1 species
UACGUAGGGUGCGAGCGUUAAUCGGAAUUACUGGGCGUAAAGUGUGCGCAGGCGGCAGAGCAAGUCGAGUGUGAAAGCCCCGGGCUUAACUUGGGAAUUGCGCUCGAAACUACUUUGCUGGAGUGUGGCAGAGGAAGGUGGAAUUCCACGUGUAGCGGUGAAAUGCGUAGAGAUGUGGAGGAACACCAAUGGCGAAGGCAGCCUUCUGGGCCAACACUGACGCUCAUGCACGAAAGCGUGGGAGCAAACAGGA